CACAUUAUGUUGAAAUACUAGUUCCCUUAUGAUCACCGAAGUUAAGCAAUGUCGAGCCUGGCCAAUACCUAGAUGGGUGACAACUUAGGAAUAUCAGGUGCUGUAA